rnacentral:rRNA from 1 species
GACAGAGGUGCCGAGCGUUAGGCGGAAUCACUGGGCUUAAAGCGUGUGUAGGCGGGUCGUUAAGUGUCUUGUGAAAUCCCACCGCUCAACGGUGGAACCGCUGGGCAUACUGGCGAUCUUGAGCAGUCCAGGGGCGAGCGGAACAAGCGGUGGAGCGGUGAAAUGCGUAGAUAUCGUUUGGAACGCCAACGGUGAAAACAGCAGGCUGGGGAUGUGCUGACGCUGAGACGCGAAAGCGUGGGGAGCGAACAGG